rnacentral:tRNA from 1 species
GGCGGGUUGCCCGAGCGGCCAAUGGGAGUGGACUGUAAAUCCAUCGCGCAAGCUACGUAGGUUCGAAUCCUUCACCCGCCACCA